rnacentral:rRNA from 1 species
AGAUUAAGCCAUGCAUGUCUCAGUACAAGCUAAAUUAAAGUGAAACCGCGAAUGGCUCAUUACAACAGCCGUUGUUCCCUUGAGACAUACUUGGAUAACUGUGGCAAUUCUAGAGCUAAUACACGCACUGAAGCCUCGACCUUACGGGAGAGGUGCAUUUAUUAGAACAAAACCAAUCGGGGCAAUUUGGUGAAUCUGAAUAACCCAGCUGAUCGCACGGUCUUUGCACCGGCGACGCAUCUUUCUCUGCCUUAUCAACUUUCGAUGGUAGUUUAUGUGACUACCAUGGUUAUAACGGGUAACGGAGAAUAAGGGUUCGACUCCGGAGAGGGAGCCUGAGAAACGGCUACCACAUCCAAGGAAG